UAUAAAAUUUAAAGAAAAAAAAUAUCAAUUCAUUUAAAAUCUCAUAGAUGUUGUUGUAAAAUGCAUCUCUUCCUAUAUAUAUACCCAAUCCUUCUGAUCUACAAGAGUGGAAAUUGAGAAGUAUAUAUCCACUUUAAUUUGCUUAAUAAAAUUAUGGCUAAGUCAACUUUGUCACACAUAUUCUCACUUGUCCUUUUGAUUUUAGCAAUCUCAAUCAGAAAUCAAGUGGCAAGAGCAGCCGAUACAGCAUGCCAAGAAAUAUGGACUGAUCUGAAAGGUUGCACCUCAGUUGGGUAUCUUCCUUGUAAGCUAGAGUGCAUAAGGAAAUAUGGCUCUGGUUCAUAUGGAUAUUGCGCAAAUAUAUCACAUUGUAUUUGCGUCUUUGCAUGUGUCCCAAUUAAUUAACUAUUAAUUAAUGAAUUCAUAGAAUUUGUCUAUGUUUAGAACAUGUGGGAUUACAUAUACAAAGAGAAAGAUUAGAUAUUAAGAUUUAAAAUAGGUCGAGUUUUCUCCUUAAUCUCUAAAUGAGUAGAUUUUAGAUUUUAAAUAAGUUCGUGAACAUGAGAUAUUUAAUAUUCUCGAUCUGAAAUAUAUAAUGAAUUGUCUCGUUUAGUUAA